CCCUCCUGACAAUGGGCAAAGAGACCCCUUGGUGGUGGUGGUGUUCUUCUAUCAGUCAGGGGCAGAGCAGUUGGCAGCCCUUUGUUCAUCCUAGCUGGAUGCCUGGCUUGGUGGCCAAAGCGGUCUUGUGCCUGGGACUCAUGA